UCCUUCGGGGCAGGGUGAAAUUCCCUACCGGCGGUGAUUCCCUUUUGAGCUCAUCCGGGCAGACAGGGAAAGUCCGUGACCCGUUAAGCUAUGCGUGAGCAUCGCUUAACGGCUGAUCCGGUGCAAUUCCGGAACCGACAGUAUAGUCUGGAUGGGAGAAGGA
rnacentral:ncRNA from 1 species